CAAUAUUUUUAUUGUAAUCUUUUGAUACUAUCUUUGUCUUUUCCAACUUGAUUUAUAAAAUACAGUUCUUGUUAAAGCAAGUGUAUGAAUGUCUCCCAUUAAUACUCAGUUCGUUCUUAUGAACAGGGUAGAUGGUGCCUUGGAAAUUAAAUUACUCAUUCUUGGUUAGAUUUAACACUGAAUCGUCAAGCGAAUUUCCCAAAUGGACCAAAUUAUCUUCUUAAUCUGUUCACUUCCCCACCCAGCAAAAUGAUUUUUAGUUUAAAAUCAUGUUAUAGAGUUUUUUGUUGAUUGUCUUAUUUAGUUCGAAAAUAAGAUACAAAACUAUUUAAUAUUUAAGUAUUGCUCUGUCAAAACAGUCAUACAGUAGAGUUGGAUCUGAUGCAAGAGUUGAGUUCAAGAGUUUGCUUAAAGAGUCAUGUAUAGCCAGUGUUUCUCUUAAUAAAAUUCUCCUUAGGUAAAAAAUACAAUAUGUGUAGCCAUAUUUAUGCAUACAUUAAAGACUGGUAUAUUGUGUCUCAAAAAGUAGUAUGUAGCAGUUUUUUUUAUUAGCAUUGGAAUAUGUUUCUUCAGUUAAAUAUUAGGUAGAGUAUCUGGCUUGCUUUAGGACCCAUUUUAUCCCAAACACAAGUACCUUUUCAUACUAGAAAUACUCUGAGCAUAGCUUAAAGUUUACUAAGAAAUUGAAACUCACUGGGGUGACAGAUUGGAGGGACCAUACCUCACCCAGGUCUUGGGCUCAGUGAGUGCAAUUUCAUAUACACUGGUAUAUUGUGUCUGUAAAUAUGUGCAUGCCAAGGAUAUGCAGUUAAUUUCACAUAUAGUGUAAAUGUUUUAUGACUUUGCUAUAAUGUGUUUACCUGGUAUUUUAAAGAACUGUUUAACUAGAUUUGUGGGAAAAACAUUAUUUCUUAAGAUGUAGUUAUAGAGAUGUAAAGUCACUGGCAUCCAAUCAAAGAGAAUUUAAGUAGUGUUGUAUUUUGGCAUUUUGAAAGUAUGUAUUUUUAACCUUGAUAGACACUAUUCAAUCAGAAUUGCUCCAAAGCUAAGUUCAGUUGUCUCAUACUUUAAAAUUACCCAAUUAUGUUUGCAGUGUUUAUUAUCUACAAAAAACGUUAUAUGGCCCAUGAUAUUAAUGGAAGAAUUUAGAACUUUGAUCAAAAAGAGAAGUGUACAGUUAGAAUCUUACCCUAUAGAAUACUUUGACUUGGUCAUCAAAAUUUAGUGGAAAUCAAUACUACAUUUGGCCAUGUGUCUGAUAUCACAUAGAGCAAAGCUGAUGUAAGAACUCAGACAAAUUGCUUAUUUUGCACUGUGGGAAGAAAAAUAUACGCACACAUACAAACAAACAUACAUGCCUGUUAGCUUUUCAUAAAGUAUUGCUCAAAGUUUUCAAAACUAUGUAGCACCUCCACGGUACAGCUUGUAGCAUUAAAUCUGGUUACCACUGGACCUUCCUUUAAAAUGCAAGACUCCUAUCCAAAAAAUUCCCCAAGUUAAAUCUGUCCUCACUGUCCACUGACUCAUUUUGUGAUGUCAGAUUUCAAGUACUAGUUACUAAAUGAUCCCAGUCUUUAUAAAUUCUACUUUACUUGGAAAUAAGACCUUAAAAUAUUUCUCAAGUAGUUUAUCAGUGUCUAAAAUGUUUGGUUCAAAAUAUGAACUUGGGGAAUGAAACAUUUAGAAUCAAGCAAAAACAAGUACUUUUUUCAAAGGUACUUAUAGCAUAUAAGUUAACAAGUGGGUCUUUUGGGAGUAUAUUUAGGAUUUGGAAGCAGUGGCAAUAGCAAGAGUCAGGUUUUGGGGAAGGCCUUAAAGAAGAAUUGAUUGAUGGUGCUGUAAUGAAAAUUAAGAAUGAUCUGUGGUUAGCUUAUUCAAAACGUAGUUUGUUUUCACACAACCUGAAAUAAAGCAUAUCCCCGUGUCUCCGUCCAGUAUGGACUGUUAAUAUUCUUUAUACCAUAAAAGAAGAAAGAACUUUUAAAAAUUAACUCUACUCCUGCAC
ensembl:lncRNA